UUUUUUUUUCAAUCAACUCUCUGUUUUCACAGAAAUGGGCAGAGUACAGACAAAGGAGUGAGAGGAAAAAAAAUUUAUCAAGCUACAAUAUCUGAUGACAAGUUCUUAGGUUGGCAUCUUAGCCUUAUGAUGCUUUAAAAAGUCCAAUCUGAUAUUUCUUAUUACAGUUCCAGUGAAGCCAACUUAAAAAGAGCCUUUAUGGUUAAUCACUACUAUUGCUACACUUAUGUAAAUAAUCAGGACAUGAUGACAGUAGACUUAUUUUGUAAACUAUUCUUACUGCAACUAUCUUUGGCAGAAGUAGGGGUGGCUGUAGAGAGAAAAAUUAUGUUCCAAUAGAAAACUAUAGUACACCUGUUAUUAGACUCUACUCCUGUUUAUUGUCUUUGAGGUUUUGCGAUCUACCUGUAAACUUUAACUGACCCCGAAUUCUUCUAAUAUUUGGCUAAGACUUUGGAGAAAAGCUAUUUUAAUUACACACAGGAGUCCCACAAAGUAGAGGACUUGAAGAGGGGCCAGAUGAUAGAAGUUUUUAUAGCAUCCUGAGCUAAAGAAAGGAGUAGGGGUUGGUGGUUUAUCGGGGGUGGUGUCUAUACAAGUUGCAGGGGAGUAAGAGGAGGGAAUGCAUGGAGAACAAAGGUUGUCUUGUUAUACAGAUAACAUCUCUCAGGUAAUAAAAGUUGUCUCCAAGGAUCUCAUCAGAAGAAGAGGUAAUGGAUAGUUUGUGACAAAGUCUUUCUGGAGUGUGGUGUCUCCUGUGAGUUAAUCUUCCUUCACUGAUGAGAUUCCCAGGGAGGAUACCUAUGACAAUUGUGUUUCUUUUUGGAGGCUCUAUCUUCAGCCACUUAAGGGAGUUCAGAGAGAGCCCUUUCUUGUAUUUGCUGUUUCCCAAGUGCCCUCAGUUUGAAAUAAUUAGCAUACCAAAAUGCUACAUUUUGAGGUUUACUGAGUCUCAACAACUGCUACUAUGCAGGUUAAGUAGAUAAUUACCUUGAAGAUGCUGCUUGGAAGUGAUUUGUUUGGGAUGAUUCUUUACACUCUCCCUUGUCGCUACUGGUAUGCAUUGUCACCUAAAAUGAUCUAGGUCAGAAUUUUUAUUUCCUGCACUUCUGGCAGCAAUUUUCUUCCCUAAAUCGCUGGUACUUCUCCUUAGGAUACUCAGGGGCUCCUGCCUGUCAGGCUUCUUUGCUUGCAAGGCCUUCUCUCUCUGGCACUUCUUCCUUUCAUCAGAACUUUCCUGUCCUGCUCUUAUCUGCUCACCAGGUGGGAAAACAGCUCGAGAAACUAAUCUGAGCAAAGGUGUUAAAGGCUGACAUGGAUUUAAUAGGUUUAAUAUGCAUCUUCUCCAAGAAGCAGGUCAAAUGUCAUACUUUCUGUGAAGAUUACUCAUUUCCAAGGAGGCUAACUGCUUCCUCCUGCAAGCUACCACCACACUUCUAUCAACCUUCUAGUAAAGUACUUCUCUGGCUGAAGUUUAAUUUGCUGUAUAUUAAUAUGCACACACAAUGUCUCUUUUCAUGUUUAUACUGCCAGCACCUACUAUAGCAUCUACUUCAUAAUAGGCAAUCAAUAUAUAUUUGUUAAGUAAGUGUUUUGUUAACUUGAUUUAAACAGGUGAUCCCUAGAUGU
rnacentral:lncRNA from 1 species